rnacentral:lncRNA from 1 species
UUGAGUGACCUUUUUUUCCGCUUUCAGACACCUGGCCAAUGAGAUGAAGUUGUACCACUUCCAUCAGUCUCGACAUUUGUCAAAGAAGUGCAGUUUAUAAAUGACCAAGUGGAUGAAGCAGCCACACUCUCACCGGUCCAGAUAUUCCCCAAAGAAGAGGAAGGUGCAUAUUGUAAGGCAGAAGAGCCUGUGCUGGUCUCACUUGUCCCAGUGCUUCUCAAGGAAAAACAUGUGCUUGAUGAAUCGCCGGAGGACUUUGAAGUUGGCAGUCACCCAUUGCUAAUAAAUCUGAGCCAAAUAUGGAAGUUACUGUGAAGUGCCUGCAGGAUGACUGCAAUUUUUUUUCAACGUCUUGGCAAAUUUGAGAACAUACGCUGCAAAAGCAUAUGCUUGCAGAGGAGAAAGGGAAGUUUAUAUUCCAGACAAUGGAUGAGUUUCUGAAGUGAAAGUCCAAAGAAGAGAAGACAGCAAGAAGUAGCUAUUUGUGUUUUUCAUGGUUUAUAGGCCUACUGGGGAAACUUGCCAUGUAAAAAAAAUGAGUAACGCCUCAAGCUUGGUACCUGUAUGGUGAUGUGGAAAU